rnacentral:rRNA from 1 species
AGUGAACGCUGGCGGCAGGCCUAACACAUGCAAGUCGAACGGCAGCACAGAAAGUGCUCCCUCUUACGGCUGCCGACUGGUGAGUGGUGCCUAGGUACCUCCCUGUCUGCUUUGGCGAGGGGCCUGACGUGGGGAAACAUACCCCAUACCCCCUGAGGACCUACGGGUGGAAUCUGCGGACCUCCCGCUAUCACACGAUUCGAGGUCGGAUUAGCUAGUUGGCGGGGUAAAGGCCUACCAAGGCGACGAUCCGUAGCUGGUCUGAGAGGAUGAUCAGCCACACUGGAACUGAGACACGGUCCAGACUCCUACGGGAGGCAGCAGUGGGGAAUAUUGGACAAUGGGCGCAAGCCUGAUCCAGCCAUGCCGCGUGGGUGAAGAAGGCCUUCGGGUUGUAAAGCCCUUUUGUUGGGAAAGAAAAGCAGCAGGUUAAUACCCCGCUGUUCUGACGGUACCAAAAGAGUAAGCACCGGCUAACUUCGUG